rnacentral:Y_RNA from 1 species
GGCUGAUCCGAGUGCAGUGGUGUUUACAACUAAUUGAUCACAACCAGUUACAGAUUCCCUUGUUCCUUCUCUACUCCCACUGCUUCAGAACUUUUGACUAGCCUUAA